ACAGCCCCAUGCCAAACCAUUCCCAUUGGGAUCUGGGUGUUCCCAAAUCCAGAGGGAUGCACAAAUCCCAGAACCAUUCCCAUUCCUCAAACCAUUCCCAUUGGGAUCCACCUGUUCCCAAAUGCAGAGGGACACACAAAUCCCAAAACAGCCCCAUCCCGAUCCAUUCCCAUUCCUCAAACCAUUCCCAUUGGGAUCUGUGUAUUCCCAAAUCCUGAGGGGCACACAAACCCCAAAACAGCCCCAUCCCAAACCAUUCCCAUUCCUCAAACCAUUCCCAUUGGGAUCCGCGUGUUCCCAAAUCCUGAGGGAUGCACAAAUCCCAAAACCAGCCCCAUCCCAAACCAUUCCCAUUCCCUGUGCCUUGAUUUUGGGGCCGCCCCUCGCCCAGGGCCGGCUCCCCCCGUUUUCCCUCAGCCCAGGAUCCCCGGGAGUGGUGGCACUGGGAAUUUGGGAAUUCGGGAAUUCG
rnacentral:lncRNA from 1 species